rnacentral:rRNA from 1 species
CCUACGGGAGGCAGCAGUGAGGAAUAUUGGUCAAUGGGCGGGAGCCUGAACCAGCCAAGUCGCGUGAGGGAUGACGGCCCUAUGGGUUGUAAACCUCUUUUGCCGGGGAGCAAAGUGCCGCACGUGUGCGGCUUGGAGAGUACCCGGAGAAAAAGCAUCGGCUUACCCCCGGCCCGCCGCCGCGGUUAUACGGAGGAUGCGAGCGUUAUCCGGAUUUAUUGGGUUUAAAGGGUGCGUAGGCGGACGCUUAAGUCAGCGGUAAAAUUGCGGGGCGCAACCUCGUCGAGCCGUUGAAACGGGGGGCCGUGAGUGGGCGAGAAGUACGCGGAAUGCGUGGUGUAGCGGUGAAAUGCAUAGAUAUCACGCAGAACUCCGAUUGCGAAGGCAGCGUACCGGCGCCCAACUGACGCUGAAGCACGAAGGCGUGGGGAUCUAACAGGAUUAGAUACCCGGGUAGUC